AUCGCAAGACCUCGCGCGAUUGGGAGCGGCCGAUAUCAGAUUAGGGUAGUUGGUGAGGUAAAGGCUCACCAAGCCAACGAUCUGUAGCUGGUCUGAGAGGACGACCAGCCACACUGGAACUGAGACACGGUCCAGACUCCUACGGGAGGCAGCAGUGGGGAAUUUUGGACAAUGGACGCAAGCCUGAUCCAGCAAUGCCGCGUGCAGGAUGAAGGCCUUCGGGUUGUAAACUGCUUUUGUACGGAACGAAACGGUGAGCUCUAAUACAGUUUGCUAAUGACGGUACCGUAAGAAUAAGCACCGGCUAACUACGUG
rnacentral:rRNA from 1 species